rnacentral:tRNA from 2 species
GUGCCCGUAGUUCAGUUGGUUAGAGCGUCAGAUUGUGGUUCUGAAUGUCGUGGGUUCGAGUCCCACCGGGCACCCUCCA